rnacentral:rRNA from 1 species
CUAGAGAUAGAAAGUUACUUCGGUACAUCGGUGACAGGUGGUGCAUGGUUGUCGUCAGCUCGUGUCGUGAGAUGUUGGUUAAGUCCCGCAACGAGCGCAACCCCUAUUGUUAGUUGCCAUCAUUCAGUUGGGCACUCUAGCGAGACUGCCGGUAAUAAACCGGAGGAAGGUGGGAUGACGUCAAAUCAUCAUGCCCCUUAUGACCUGGGCUACACACGUGCUACAAUGGUUGGUACAACGAGUUGCGAGUCGGUGACGGCGAGCUAAUCUCUUAAAGCCAAUCUCAGUUCGGAUUGUAGGCUGCAACUCGCCUACAUGAAGUCGGAAUCGCUAGUAAUCGCGGAUCAGCACGCCGCGGUGAAUACGUUCCCGGGCCUU